UCCCCUAACGAUCCAGUGGUUAGGACUCCACAUUUUCAUUGCUGAGAGCCCAGGUUCAAUCCCUGGUUGGGGAA
rfam:Ovis aries breed Texel chromosome 9, whole genome shotgun sequence.